UCAAGAUCUGGUCAGAUAUGACUUUGUCGAAUUAAACCAGGAGCUUGGAAACUAAUUUUUGAAUGAAACCAACUGAGGGAUACUUAGUUGUGCCAUGGUGAUACCGAGAGAGGCAAUUGCUAAGUUAUGAUACUCCCAUACCUUUACUAGAUGCGAACGAUUCCGGAGAAGAAGAAGAAGUAGUUCGGACAAGGAUUUUAUUUAUAUUGACGGGAUUCUUACAUUGAUGAAGUUGAAGAAGUCUAGGGACAAAUAAGCCAAGGCAAGCCACCUUUUGAUCUCUGAUAUGAUGUCUCUUUGGAUGUCAUCUUGUGCUAUCAAUAGCAUCUUGGUUCUAUGUGUGAUGAUCUCCAUAUUGUUGUCAUCUAUGCUUGGAUGCAAGCAUGGUACCUCUAGUAGUUUUAUCUUGUCAAGGUCUUGGUAAUUGGUUGGGUGUAUGGUAUCAUGGCCAUUGCUAUCCAACUUGCUUUCUAUAUUUAGCUUGAAUAUGUUCCACCUCGGGACAAGAUUCAUACUACACCCCCUUCUAGUGUAGAUGUAUCAAUACCAUGUUUUUGGUGUAUUCUCAAAUUGUGAUGAGUAUGCCUGUUUUCCCUUAAUGGUGUUGGUGUUGGUCAAUUCUCAUCCCUAUCUAUCUAUUGAUUGGGUUAGAUAGCACCACAAAUCUGAAAGUAUAUUUCCUCUUGUGUUGUCAUAAUACAUGCUUAGCUCAAGCAAGUAUGAUCCACUCCAAUACCUCUUUUUCAUACCCUCAAUGGCGUGAUGACCCUCAUCUCGGCCAUAGUGUUGUAUUAGUUCAACUCAUGAAACUUUAGAUUGGGAACCCCUCAAGGUUUACCUUGUUGUAAAUGUUUAUGAAAACCUUGGGUGAGGCAAUCUUACCCAAGCGUAUGGUUUAUGAAAGGAAAGGAUCUUGACAAAGAUGGUUGGAAAGAGGAAGGUGUGUGUGACUUGGGUUUUUGAGAAAAACGACACAUGGUUCUUUGUAUUCACCCGGAACAACUAAACAGCGCAACCAUAGCUACUCCAACGUGGGCACGGGGCUUAACUUGACGUUUGUUCUUCU